rnacentral:tRNA from 1 species
GUAGACGUUAGCUCAGUGGUUAGAGCACAGGCCUCUGGCUCUCGGGUUUGCGAGUCCCGUCGUCUACU